rnacentral:rRNA from 1 species
UACGUAGGGGGCAAGCGUUGUCCGGAAUCAUUGGGCGUAAAGCGCGCGUAGGCGGCCCGGUAAGUCCGCUGUAAAAGUCCAGGGCUCAACCCUGGAAAGCCGGUGGAUACUGUCGGGCUAGAGUCCGGAAGAGGCGAGUGGAAUUCCUGGUGUAGCGGUGGAAUGCGCAGAUAUCAGGAGGAACACCGAUGGCGAAGGCAGCUCGCUGGGACGGUACUGACGCUGAGGCGCGAAAAGCGUGGGGAGCGAACAGG